rnacentral:lncRNA from 1 species
AUCCGCGCCGCGCAGGCGCACUGAGCCUCAGCCGCUCUCCUCGCUACCAGGCUCCUUUCCUCUAUCGCGCAGGCGCACUGAACCUCAGCCGCGCCGGGAGGCGAGCCCGUUGGCGAGGGGCGGGGCAGAUGGCGAGGGAGCGGGGCGAGCUGCUUUUUGAGGCUGCGCACUCGCAUGGCCCCACCUCGCAGGUCCACUUCCGGCGCCGCGGCUGUUCCGGGCGGAGACCGCUUGUGCUGGAGUCGGAGUUGUAACGCUCCACUGACUGAUAGAGCGACCGGCCGACCAUGGCGCCCGGAGUGGCCCGCGGGCCGACGCCGUACUGGAGGUUGCGCCUCGGUGGCGCCGCGCUGCUCCUGCUGCUCAUCCCGGUGGCCGCCGCGCAGGAGCCUCCCGGAGCUGCUUGUUCUCAGAACACAAACAAAACCUGUGAAGAGUGCCUGAAGAACGUCUCCUGAACUUUGAGGCGCUGAUCAUCACCAUGUCGGUAGUCGGGGGAACCCUCCUCCUGGGCAUUGCCAUCUGCUGCUGCUGCUGCUGCAGGAGGAAGAGGAGCCGGAAGCCGGACAGGAGUGAGGAGAAGGCCAUGCGUGAGCGGGAGGAGAGGCGGAUACGGCAGGAGGAACGGAGAGCAGAGAUGAAGACAAGACAUGAUGAAAUCAGAAAAAAAUAUGGCCUGUUUAAAGAAGAAAACCCGUAUGCUAGAUUUGAAAACAACUAAAGCGCUCCAGCACAUCAGUCCCGACGCUUCCUGUGAGGUGCACGCUCCGCAGCCCAGCCCAGCCGGGAGACCACGUGGCCAUUGCGGUCUCCUGACCUUGGCCAGUGAACCUGCCAGCCUUCCAGGACAGGCGGCCGGAGAGCUGCCCCUGAAGGACAGUCCUCUCGUCUUGCAGACUGGUGACCUUCUAUUCCCUGUUCAUCUCUGUUUCUAGAUUUAGUCACUUGAAAUAAGAAAUCUUUGGGGUUUGGGCUUUUUUAUACUCUUCUCAGUUUGUGAAACGCUAACUGCACACGAAGCCGCCUGACGGCACCCAGCGCUGUGGCUGUCAUUCUCCCAGGGCAGAACCCUGCGUUUCUCUCUGUCCACUAACAAGCUUCACACGCAACACAGGGAAGUCGGUUUGACUUUUGUCAUGAGGAGAACUGACCAGCCCUCAUCAUUCCCCAUAAAACCACGGACAGCGUCUGUGUGCGCAUCUUGAGUCUUCACACCUGUUGACUCACACGGCUUUUGCUGAUGACACGGGGCUCCAGUACACAGUCUGAUAAGGACUUAACGUCCUAACCUCAAUUGUAUUAAAUAGCAUUGGGGAAUAGCUAAACCUUUUUAAAAAAAUUUAUUGGAUUUUCCUCCCUGCUUAAAAGAUUUCACCAGAAAACCUUCAUAUAAAAAUUCAGGCCCUUUUUGGACAAUUUUUAAAAUUUGUAUCUUUACUAGAACAUGAGAAUCUUUUUCCCUUGGAAGCUUGAAUUAUAAAUGUGGUGUUUGGCCUGCCUCAGCAGCACCAGUUGACUGCUCGUGUGCCAGCGGUGUGGGGAGGACGGGGCAGGACGCUGCAGCUCUCUCCAGCCCUGUUGGCAUCCUCAGUGCCUGCAGGCCUCUCGCUGCCUGUUGGGCUGUCUGGGGGGUGGCCAUUUAGGGAUCGUGGGGACGGGGUCCACCCCAAGAAGAAAGAAAGGCCCGUCCACAGGCCCGGCUCUGGGCCACGUGCCCCGGAAGCAGGUGUGUCCAGAGUCAGCUGAGGGCUCUCCCCACACCACCCAGCAGGCGCUGGUGCUCCUUCUGCCUCAUGGGACCAGUCCAGCUUCCAGCCGCUCUGGCUCGAGGGUGGUCUGACCACUUCCUUCUGAGUGGGCUUCUCUGGGAGCUCUCCAGUGGCACUGCUGGACCUGCCCACGUUUCUGUAAAAUCAGGAUACGUGGCUUUAGUAAGCAGACCAAGCGCUUCGUGGCAGGGAAAGCAGCGUGCGGGGAAGUCACUGAAAAGUGCUGCCUAAGGAAGUUUGGAAAUAGUCCCUGUUCCAGAUUGCCUUGAAUUUUAAAACAUUUUGCUUUGGGAAAGUAGGUCAGCAGCACCUAAGAUCAAGGAUGCGUUCCAUUUUCACACUUCACAGUCAUGAAAACUGAGAAGACUGUCUUCAGCGUGAACUAAAGUUCACAGGCAGAUCACUGAUCCAGAACACUUCAAGAACUCGUCAAACAGCUCGAUAAGCCUUUUUGACUGUGUACAUCUGUACCGGGAAUAACAUUCCUAGGCUGAAAUUUCCACAAAGAAUAGAACCUGUACCCAGUUCUUCAGGCUGAUUUCCCUGACCUCUUGGGCAUUUGUAUUUGUAGUAAAGUAUUGCAGAGAUUCCUAAGUAUUUUAUAGCAGCCAUCAAAAUUGGACUUUGUAUUGUUUAUUCAUAAAAGACACUUGGUAAUAGACUUCAGUGAACUCUGUAUGAAUGCAGUAGUGUGUGUGCAAAAUCCGCUUCCUGAGCGUAGGGUGCUGAGCUGGCGCUAGGGCUCGGUUGUGAAAUACAGCGUAGUCAGCCCUUGCGCUCAGUGUAGAAACCCACGUCUGUAAGGUCGGUCUUCGUCCAUCUGCUUUUUUCUGAAAUACACUAAGAGCAGCCACAAAACUGUAACCUCAAGGAAACCAUAAAGCUUGGAGUGCCUUAAUUUUUAACCAGUUUCCAAUAAAACGGUUUACUACCUGCGUGUGUUUAGUA